GAUGAACGUUGGCGGCGUGCCUAAUACAUGCAAGUCGAGCGAACAGAUGAGGAGCUUGCUCCUCUGACGUUAGCGGCGGACGGGUGAGUAACACGUGGAUAACCUACCUAUAAGACUGGGAUAACUUCGGGAAACCGGAGCUAAUACCGGAUAAUAUAUUGAACCGCAUGGUUCAAUAGUGAAAGACGGUUUUGCUGUCACUUAUAGAUGGAUCCGCGCCGCAUUAGCUAGUUGGUAAGGUAACGGCUUACCAAGGCAACGAUGCGUAGCCGACCUGAGAGGGUGAUCGGCCACACUGGAACUGAGACACGGUCCAGACUCCUACGGGAGGCAGCAGUAGGGAAUCUUCCGCAAUGGGCGAAAGCCUGACGGAGCAACGCCGCGUGAGUGAUGAAGGUCUUCGGAUCGUAAAACUCUGUUAUUAGGGAAGAACAAAUGUGUAAGUAACUAUGCACGUCUUGACGGUACCUAAUCAGAAAGCCACGGCUAACUACGU
rnacentral:rRNA from 1 species